GAUCAUGGCUCAGGAUGAACGCUGGCGGCGUGCCUAACACAUGCAAGUCGAACGGAACUAUUUUGGAAACUCCUUCGGGAGCGGAAUCUUUAGUUUAGUGGCGGACGGGUGAGUAACGCGUGAGCAAUCUGCCUUUAAGAGGGGGAUAACAGUCGGAAACGACUGCUAAUACCGCAUAGGCCCACGGCUCGGCAUCGAGCAGAGGGAAAAGGAGCAAUCCGCUUUGAGAUGGCCUCGCGUCCGA
rnacentral:rRNA from 1 species